rnacentral:tRNA from 1 species
UUGGGGGUUUAGCUCAGUGGUAGAGCGCUUGCCUAGCAAGUGCAAGGCCCUGGGUUCAGUUCUCAGCUCUGGAA